ensembl:misc_RNA Metazoa_SRP Metazoan signal recognition particle RNA
GCUGGGCGCGGUGGCACAUGCCUGUAGUCCCAGCUACUUGGGAGGCUGAGGUGGGAGGAUCGCUUGAGCCCAGGAGUUCUGGGCUGCAGUGUGCUAUGUGGAUUGGGUGUCUGCACUAAGUUCGGCAUCGAUUUGGUGACCUCCUGGGAUCGGGGCACCACCAGGAUCCCUAAGGAGGGGUGAACCGGCCCAGGUCAGAAAUGGAGCAGGUUGAAACUCCCAUACUGAUCAGUAGUGGGAUCCCACCUGUGAACAACCACUGCACUCCAGCCUGGGCAACAUAGCGAGACACCAUCUCUU